rnacentral:tRNA from 1 species
GCUGCUCGAGCUCAGAUGGUAGAGUGCUCGCCUAGCAUGCGAGAGGUACCGGGAUCGAUACCCGGCGCCUCC